rnacentral:rRNA from 1 species
GACGAACGCUGGCGGCGUGCCUAGCACAUGCAAGUCGAACGGAACUUACCGAAUGAAGUUUUCGGAUGGAUUUUGAUAAGUUUAGUGGCGGACGGGUGAGUAACGCGUGAGUAACCUGCCUUCAAGAGGGGAAUAACGUUCUGAAAAGAACGCUAAUACCGCAUAACAUACGGAUGUCGCAUGGCAACCGUAUCAAAGAUUUUAUCGCUUGAAGAUGGACUCGCGUCCGAUUAGCCAGUUGGCGGGGUAACGGCCCACCAAAGCGACGAUCGGUAGCCGGACUGAGAGGUUGAACGGCCACAUUGGGACCGAGACACGGGCCCAGACUCCUACGGGAGCAGCAGUGGGAAUAUUGGGCAAUGGGCGCAAGCCUGACCCAGCAACGCCGCGUGAAGGAGAAGGC